CCUACGGGAGGCAGCAGUGAGGAAUAUUGGACAAUGGAGGCAACUCUGAUCCAGCCAUGCCGCGUGCAGGAAGACUGCCCUAUGGGUUGUAAACUGCUUUUAUACAGGAAGAAACACUCUCACGUGUGAGAGCUUGACGGUACUGUAAGAAUAAGGAUCGGCUAACUCCGUGCCAGCAGCCGCGGUAAUACGGAGGAUCCAAGCGUUAUCCGGAAUCAUUGGGUUUAAAGGGUCCGUAGGUGGAUAAUUAAGUCAGAGGUGAAAUCCUGCAGCUCAACUGUAGAAUUGCCUUUGAUACUGGUUGUCUUGAGUUAUUAUGAAGUAGUUAGAAUAUGUAGUGUAGCGGUGAAAUGCAUAGAUAUUACAUAGAAUACCAAUUGCGAAGGCAGAUUACUAAUAAUAUACUGACACUGAUGGACGAAAGCGUGGGGAGCGAACAGGAUUAGAUACCCUGGUAG
rnacentral:rRNA from 1 species